GAGCCAAUUGAAUUUAUACACCA
rnacentral:siRNA from 1 species